rnacentral:misc_RNA from 1 species
UUUCCGUAGGUGAACCUGCGGAAGGAUCAUUAUUGAAUAACCGAGGUUCGGGGUCUGUCUCUGACCCUAUAUUUCGUGCACGCCCGAGUGCUCUCACGCCCCGCCAUCUCACCCCUGUCUCCACCCCGGCGGGGCUCCCCCGGGGGCUUGUUCGGCGGGGGGCUUACGUUUUCUCACUACCUUAUAAUACUGUGUAGUAUGUAUAUUUUAUUUUUUCGAUCACGCAACCAUUACAACUUCCAACAACGGAUCGCUUGCCUCUCUCAUCGCUGAAGACCC